GACGAACGCUGGCGGCGCGCUUAACACAUGCAAGUCGAGCGAGAACCAGGGCUUCGGCCCUGGGGAAAGCGGCGAACGGGUGAGUAACACGUGAGUAAUCCACCCUCGGUACCGGGAUAGCCCGGGGAAACCCGGAUUAAUACCGGAUGGCCCAGCAGCUCUUCGGGGCGGCUGGAAAAGGUAGCUUCGGCCUCCGACCGAGGACGAGCUCGCGGCGGAUUAGCUUGUUGGUGGGGUAACGGCCUACCAAGGCGACGAUCCGUAGCUGGUCUGAGAGGACGAUCAGCCACACUGGGACUGAGACACGGCCCAGACUCCUACGGGAGGCAGCAGUGGGGAAUCUUGCGCAAUGGGCGAAAGCCUGACGCAGCGACGCCGCGUGCGGGAAGAAGGCCUUCGGGUUGUAAACCUCUUUCAGGAGGGACGAAGCUACUCGGGUUAAUAGCCCAGAGGGUGACGGUACCUCCAGAAGAAGCCCCGGCUAACUACGUGCCAGCCGCCGCCGUAACAC
rnacentral:rRNA from 1 species